AUACUUAACCUGGCAGAGGAGAUACCAUGAUCAUGAAGGUGGUUUUCCCAGGGUGAGGCUCACCCAUUGUACCCCAGGUGUGCUGGUUCCUGUGAUUUCCUCAAAUGUGUGAAACUCGACUGCAUAAUUUGUAGUAGUGGGGAACUGCAUUCAUGCUCUCCCCUG